CAAGUGCAAGUGCCAACAGCAGUAGCUAGCACAGUUCAUCGACGUCGAGGCCGGCAAGGCGCCGGCGGCAAGCAAGCAAAGCAACAAUCGCCCUAAUUUAAGCUAUCAAGCCAUGGCGCCUCGCGGCCGGCUCCUCGACCUGGAGAGGCACGACGUGCUCUUCUUCUACGGCGAUGAUGGCGCCUACGACCACCACCAGAGCGACCGCGUCAGCGUGGCCACCUACGGGAUCGUCCUCUGGCCCGUCUUCCUCGUCGCCGUCCUGCUCCUCCACCUGAUCGCCCCGUUCCCGCACGCCGCUGCCGUCUGCGGGGUGCUCUACGUCGCCUACUGCUUCCUCCUCGACCGCGCAGCGCAGGCGAGCUCGUGGCCUUCCGCCACCGCUGGCAUGCCGCCGGCGGCAUGCAGAACCCUCUCGCCCGACUCUACUCGGGGCAAUGCAAUGUGGCUCCCAUGAAGUAGCUAGCUGAUGGCGAGACUUCCCACAUGCAGUAUCCGGAUAUGUAAUAUAUUCAACCAGAAGGAUUUUCCGCGCCUUGUGAAAUAUAAAUAUAUAACUUUUUUAUUAGUAUAAUCAUAAAUAUUAUAUUCAUAGUAAAUGAUGUGUCUCGCUGAUUUGGAUGUCAUAAUUUCUUGUGCUAGUUAACUUUAAUGCAAAUGAUAGUAGAUUGUUGAAGUGGACACCUUGCAUAUCAGAAGAAAUUGAUAAUGGCAAAUGAUAUAUAGUAGACUAGUGAGAUAUACGCUUUGUAUUUUAAGAGAAACAGAUAGUCAGGUUGAUAGCAGUCUGCUGAGGUGGUCGCAUUGCAUGUCAAGAAAAAUAGAUAGUGAAGUUGGGCCUGAAUUAGUUUCCAAAAAAAAUUAUAAUUCUCCGUCAUAUCGAAUCUUGCUGCACAUACAUAUAGCAUUAAGUAUAGAUAAAAAAACUAAUUAUACAGUUUAUCUAUAAUUUAUUAGAUGAAUUUUUAAAACCUAAUUAAUUUACCAUUGGACAAUAAUUGCCAAAUACAUCUACGAAUCUAAGGAAACCAAAACGUCUUAUAAUUUAGACAAUGAAGAAAGUAUUUAUCAAAGAGAUUAGAUUUACCAUGGUAACAAAUGUUCUUCCCAGCGUUCAACGAACCGCGCUUAAUGAUGACCAAAUCGUGAAGCUUUGCCAGAAAAUAUAUUUGGUUCUGUGCGUGCCGACUGCCGAGCGACGAGAUAGCGGGGCUUUGCCUUCUUGGAAGCUGCACUUCACUUUCUUCUAUCUGGUGCGCCAAAGCGUUGCUGUCACGCAACAGUGAGCGUAAUGUUUCAAGCAAUUAUUCGGCAAUCAAUAAUUAAUAAGAUCCUAUUCUAUUGCUCCCCCUCACUUUCUUCUAUCUGUUGCGAAGCUACGGUUUCAAUGACUUUAAUCAUUUAAGCAAUUACUGGGUACACCUAUUGUCCAGAUUCAUAGCUAAAACAUCAUUCUUUUUAAUUAAGACGAAGGAUGUAAACUAAUAUUCUAUUAUAUGGCUCCCUUGUGAUUUGCUUGUUCUAGGGUUUUAGGAUUAUUUUAAUCUCUUUUAGCUUUUGCUACCUACCACCUCUGCCCAAACCCCCCACCCCACACAAAAUAAAAUUAUAUAUAUACUAUCUAAAAUUUGACCAAAUACAUUGAUAAAAACAUUAACAUUUAUAGCACACAAAAGAUAUACUAUGAGUGUAUAUUUCAUAAAGAAUCUACUGAUAACACUCCCUUCAUUUUUUUACAUAUCAUAUUAACUUUGUGCUAAGUUAAACAUUUAUAUCUUUGACAAGAAUAGUAUUCCUACCAUCAUCACUCUGUGUUCCUCUGCUUCAAGCCAUCCCAACCAGCGUAGCAGAGUUUCACUGCUUUGUCAUCCCAUCCUUGCACCCAGUGACUACACCCGAAGUGGCUUGACACCUUGGCACCGUCAAUCGUUAUGUCAUGACCAAGACCUACGUUGACGGAUACCUCAACAAAGGGUACCCACACCCUUGGGUAUCGUAUGACCGCCUGUAUGUAUCUUCCAAAAUCUAGGUGAGCCAACCAUGAAUAGAGCAUAAUCACUGAGCCAUGCAGAGCAGAGAAGGUGUUGUGCAACUGUUGGCCCCACAAUUAGGGCCUCCAGCUUGGCUCCAAGCCCUCUAGCCAGCCUGCAUGGGAACAUCUAACAUCCAAGCCCCCCUUUCGUGGGCGGGCGGGCGGGGGAGGAGAGGGAGAAAAGGGGCCUCAACGUAAUUCACCUUUCCUUGGAGGGCCAAAAUAAGCAUUUAUACCAAGGCCUUUAAUGGCCUAGCAAGGGGACAUUUGCACUCCCCUAGGAGGCUCCGGAUCAGACUAUAUUCUCCCUGAAGGAUCAAGAAGACACUUGUACUGCCCCCCACAAAAAGCAUCCGAGCUCCCCCGACUAGGGGGCUCAAAUAUGACUAUCCUCUCCUCGAAGAGUUAGAAAGGCAACUGUACUAAGCCAUCAUGUCACCAAUGCCAGACGUGCCUGCGUGUAGGAUACGAGGGCGCCUGUGUGUAGGAUACAAGGGAGACCCUCUGUUUGGUGCUUUGGAGGUUGUUGCUUUGGACAUUUUUGUCCGAUACCUGAAUUUGAUUUUUCCCAUAUUAUUUGUGUUCGCUUUUCCGUAUUUUGUGAUUAGCUGAUAAGCUAAAGAUUUGUAUCAAAAUAUAAGGUAUUCUAUGUGAAUGAACACUCCAAAAAACAAUAUUCACAUACAUACCUACCAUUGAUGUCAAGUACCAACCCAAAUAUGAUAAUCAGGUAGGGUUAUGUGUGUCAUUUGUCUUAUCACAUACUUCUUCUCUUUUCUUACUCCUUCGCAACAUAUGGAAUCUCAUAUACCAAGAAGAUUGGCAUGAGCAAAAGGACCUAGUGGUUGAGUCUUAGUAGCAUCUUAGGUCCUAGUUUGACUCCUUGUGAAAGCAAUUUUUCAGUAUUUAAUGGCUUUAUACUUUCAAGAUUUGUUAGUCUAGUCUUUGAAGAAGCUUAUAGGGGCAUGUGCCUAAAAAAGGAGAAAUUUGUGAUUAUAGGACUCCAACCGUGUGGGUUUCGCUAUAAUAGUAUUCUAAACAUUUACUUCGCUAAAACGACUCCCGAAUCAUUAACGCUUUGCUAGUAUAACAUUUGAGACUUAAAUUGGACGUUUUAUACUCAAAUCUUUUCAAACUUGAAAUAUUUUCAAUUAAUGGUCAUAUUGCCCCUAGGGGCUAAUAAACAGCCUGCUGCUGCAUGCCUGGCCGGCUGCUGCUAGCGCUGGCGUCGCCGGCGGUGGCGAACUCCUCGACCGACGCCCACGCCGCGGCCGCGGCGUGCUAGAGCUGCGCGUGCAGGGUGACUGCGGCGGACUGCUCCGACAGCGCCUUGGCCUGCCACACCGCCGCCUUGCCGCGGAGGCGCGCGAGCCGCUCCUCCAGCUCGGGGCCACACCGUGCCUCACGCUCCGCUUCCGCCGCCUUCUCGCGCAGCCUGCGCGCCGCGGACUGGGCCGCCUUCACCAGAAUCGCCUGGUUGUGGCGCCGCAGUCGAUCGGCCAUCGCUAACAGCAGCCGGCCAGGCAUGUAGCAGUAGCCGGUCAGGCGCUAGCAGCCGCCACGCUGUUUAUUAGCCCCUAGGGGCAAUAUUGACAUUAAUUAAAAAUAUUUUAAGUUUGGAAGAGAUUUGAGUACAAAACAUCUAAUUUAAGUCUCAAAUGUUAUAAUAGCAAAGCGUUAACGAUUCGGGAGUCGUUUUAGCGAAACAAAUAUUUAGAGUCUUAUUAUAGUAAAACCCACACGAUUGGAGUCCUAUAAUCACAAAUUUCUCUAUAAAAAAACGAAGGCUUAUAUAUGUAAAAAGUCGAUGAGGUGAUGCGUAGACUUUUUCUUUUCCUAGAAGGUACAAAUGUUUUGUCCUUUCGUUAAAUCGUUCGGAAUUUGAGAACAGUGCUUAUAUACAUUAUUUUCCUUGCACGUGAAAAUGCAAUUUCGUCCACGUUUUGUUCUUUUGCCGCAAUGCAUUUUGUUCCAUGUGAACAAACAAGACAUCGAUGGAUGGGCUCGCAAUGGCCAGGAAGCUAGCCUCAUGGCUCGUGCUUAGAACACGUUGAACACGUGGUUUGAUUAUAAUAAGUACAGUACUUUUUUUUUUCGUGAGUGUGCUGUGUGCCUGUGUGCGUCCUAUUAAAAGGCAGUGACAUAUUCGUCAGUCCACUGCAAGUGGAAGUGCCAACACCAGUACGUAGUAGGCAGUAGCACAGCUACAUCCCCGUAAUUCCUGCCAUCGAGCUCGAGGCCGGCAAGCAAUCUCCCGAAGCUAUCAAGCCAUGGCGCCUCGCAGCCGGCUCCUCGACCUGGAGAGGCACGACGUGCUCUUCUUCUACGGCGACGGCGCCUACCACCACCACCACCAGAGCGACCGCGUCAGUGUGGCGACCUACGGGAUCGUGUUCUGGCCCGUCUUCCUCGUGGCCGCCCUGCUCCUGAAGCUCAUCGUCCCGUUCCCGCACGCCGCAGCCGCUGCCGUCUGCUGGGCGCUCUACGUCGCCUACUGCUUCCUCCUCAACCGCGCAGCGCAGGCGAGCA
rnacentral:lncRNA from 1 species